UACGUAGGGUGCGAGCGUUGUCCGGAAUUACUGGGCGUAAAGAGCUCGUAGGUGGUUUGUCGCGUUGUUCGUGAAAUCUCACGGCUUAACUGUGAGCGUGCGGGCGAUACGGGCAGACUGGAGUACUGCAGGGGAGACUGGAAUUCCUGGUGUAGCGGGUGGAAUGCGCAGAUAUCAGGAGGAACACCGGUGGCGAAGGCGGGGUCUCUGGGCAGUAACUGACGCUGAGGAGCGAAAGCGUGGGGAGCGAACAGG
rnacentral:rRNA from 1 species